AAUAUUUGACAAUGGGGGCAACCCUGAUCCAGCCAUGCCGCGUGUGUGAAGAAGGGCUUCGGAUUGUAAAGCACUUUAAGUUGGGAGGAAGGGCUUUAGGUUAAUACCCUGAAGUUUUGACGUUACCAAAAGAAUAAGCACCGGCGAACCAUGUGCCAGCAGCAGCGGUAAUACGGAGGGUGCAAGCGUUAAUCGGAAUUACUGGGCGUAAAGCGUGCGGAGGUGGUUCAGUAAGAUGUGUGUGAAGUCACCGGGCUUAACCUGGGAACUGCUUUCAUAACUGCUGAGCUAGAGUACGGUAGAGGGUAGUGGAAUUUCCUGUGUAGCGGUGAAAUGCGUAGAUAUAGGAAGGAACACCAGUGGCGAAGGCGACUACCUGGACUGAUACUGACACUGAGGUGCGAAAGCGUGGGGAGCAAAC
rnacentral:rRNA from 1 species